CACAACAUUCUCGCAUGGGCAAGGAACACUACGGCAACUAAAACAAUACACAGAAACUGCCUGUAGUUUGACAAUGUCGUCGUCCCGUGCCUUUUGAAUAAUUUGUUACUCGUGUGCUUCUUCAGCAGUUUGUGUGCCCGCUGAAUAUAUAUGUGUCCCUUUGUUGCAGCGUACUACAUUGCCCCGCCGGUGAGGAGUGACAUGGCACCGCGUAUUCUUCCGCAGAGCUCUCCUUGCUUUCACGCCCGUUGUCUGCGUUGCACCUCGUCGUUGACAAGGAUGACAACCGUGCUUUUCACUGGGUUUAAUGUUUGAUUAAAUACAAGAAAGUUCAUUUGCAGACAUUCGUGGACGCAUUGCAAAUGGCAGCAGACGAGGAUCUCAUACAUGGGUGAAGGGACGGCGUACAUAACUGACUGUGGGACUGUAUCAGUUGCAAGGACAUAGUUCUCCGUCUCAACGGUCACUCAUGUGUGCAAAAUUGAAACAGCUUCUUACAUCGAAGCGUGUCUGGUGUCACAUCCUUGGACAAUCGUUCGACGUCCAUUUCGUCUGAGGAACUGUCGUGUU